GAAACUGAAAUGCAAAAGUGGUAAAACUUAAUUAUGACCCAACUGAAGCAAAACAAAUGGGAUAAGAAACUCAGCCCACCCCAAAAUAAACGCUCAACCAAGAACAAAGCAAUUCACUAGACUUGUCCAACUCUGAUUAACAACAUUAUUAAAUGGUGGUUCCUUUAUUAAAGGUGUAGUGGCCGUGCUGCUACAUCCCUCUAUUCCCAAAGCAGAAAUUAGGUGCCUGCAUCAAACAAUGCAAGAUGUGAGAUAACACAUCUCAGCAAGUAAACAUAACAACAACAAAUAGGACAUUGUAAAUCAGCUGUGCUUACACAACCACGUGUUCAGGACUUCUUUCUUUUCUUUUGAACAGUAAAUUGCAGCAAGUAAACAAGUAACUAAAAGCUCAACGCCAAGUAGAAUCACCAUGCACAAGUCCAAAUUAUCCACAUCCACAUAAUAGAUUCAACACCUCUCCCAUGAAUGCACAUGGCUACAAAUGCAAUAAUGACUUCUGCCUCCAUAUCUCUAAGGAUAUGAAGCUGCACCAUACCCCUUCUCGGGCAACAUAUGAUGCUCAAUGUACCGGUACGGUCGGACCAUAAGAUCGCGACGAAACUUCAAUGCAAUGGAUGAUGAGUGCAUUAUGCAUGACAACAUCAUGAGUUCUUCCCAAAUAAAAAUGUGUUAGGCAUUUACUUCCACCCAUUCCACAUAAUAACCACUUGAGUAACAUAAUCAAACCUCAAACUCAACAUAUGAAAUUCAUGAAACAUGAACAUUUUCAAAUGAUGGUACUCAAAAGAAAACUAUGAAUUUGAACAUAAUAGCACAACAUAAACAAGUAUAAGACUCCUCAUCUGACAUACGGAAUAACCAUCACAGUUUUACUUGCCUUCACCGGAAGUUUGGGCAAAUCCCUAAGAACAAUCUGGGAGUCCACCACCUUGGAUUCUCCCCCUUUCCUUCCUCCCUUCUUCCCUCCACCAAAACGAUUGAAGACUCGCACCACGUGACGAUGAUUCGAGCGGCAAGGAUUGGCACAU
rnacentral:lncRNA from 1 species